UUAGCCCUAAACACAAAUAAUUAUAAAAACAAAAUUAUUCGCCAGAGUACUACCGGCAACAGCCUAAAACUCAAAGGACUUGGCGGUGCUUUAUACCCUUCUAGAGGAGCCUGUUCUAUAAUCGAUAAACCCCGAUAGACCUCACCAAUUCUUGCUAAUACAGUCUAUAUACCGCCAUCUUCAGCAAACCCUAAAAAGGAAUAAAAGUAAGCAUAAUCACAACACAUAAAAACGUUAGGUCAAGGUGUAACCUAUGAAAUGGGAAGAAAUGGGCUACAUUUUCUACCACAAGAAAAUCACACGAAAGUUAUUAUGAAACUAAUAACCAAAGGAGGGAUUUAGUAGUAAACUAAGAA
rnacentral:rRNA from 1 species